rnacentral:lncRNA from 1 species
UCAGAACACGCUGGAUGCCACUCUUGAUAGAAGGCACGAAUCGACUAUGUUGGUCGCGCUCUGAGGUAGUGCGUUUCUGAAGUCUGGUGGAACUUGAGUGCACACCGCCGGCAUUUCUGACACAGAAGAAAGUCUUUGCUCUUUCCUUUUGCGCCAGAGAGACGGUCUUUACAGUGCUUAGAUGGACGGGAGUCGUUCCUGUUUCCAAGGAUCUUCGACUGGACGGAAUCUCUCGCUGUAGCAGACGCGUCGGCCCCUUGCCGUCGUCGGGUGUCGGUGACAAGGCGUUGCUUCGUAAGUCUGCGUUUGAAGUCGAGAGACUUCCUGAUGGUCUCUCCUCCAGGUUUUUUGAGCCGAAGAAUACGCUCUUUCUGUUCCUUGGGAUGGUGCGCAGGUCUCCGCUUAGAAGAGUCAAAAGGACUUGCGCGCCACACCGUUCAACACCGGCACUCUUCUUGAUCGCGGUAGACUGCGUUGCAUGUUUCAAAGAGCUCGCAUAUUUUUGUGAUGACACACAGGCAGC